GGGGAGGUGGAGAAUGGAGUGCUGGGAAGACUUAGAACAGCUCUGGGGCUGCUUCUCGUUUCAUCCCUGUAGGAGACAUCAUGACAGGAGUGUGGAAGUGGAAAGAAUCUGAACCUUGUUUUACAAAAUAGGGUGAUGAUCCUGACUCUGGUGCUUUGUGAGAACGAGUCAUCUGAGUCCAGUGGCAAGACAUGGGGCAGGAGACUGGUGAUGGCCCAGGAUGCAAGAGAUGACCUAGAAGUCUUCGAUGGUAUACUUUGUAGCUGGAGACCUACACCCAGCUGCUGGUGCAUUGCUUUCCAGUUUUCUCAACUGUUCUUGUCGAAAAAUACAACCUGCAGGCAAUUGUAUCUUUUUUGCUCUGACAGUUCAUGAAGUCCAGCCUGACUUUGCUACCAUGCUUCAGCUGCCUUCUCCUUGUGCUCCUGGGGUCCUCUUAUCCCAUUGCUCUGAGAUUCCGGGGACUGACUCACUUUUGUGUUUGUGAAGCUGAUUUGUUUUAAGUGGCCACAGACCUCAUCGCAGAAGUCCUGCAGAACUGCGGUGUUCACGAAAAUCAGAAUAAUGACAUACAUAGCCAGGAGCAUGUGGAAGACUUCACCACCUAUAGGAAAUCCUUUUCCCUUUGAUGUUGGUGCAGGAAAUCCUUCAUGAUAGGGGCAAAUACCAUUCGCAAUCAAAUUCUCCCUGU